rnacentral:rRNA from 1 species
CAGUCGCCGCGGGAAUACGUAGGUGGCAAGCGUUGUCCGGAAUUAUUGGGCGUAAAGGGCUCGCAGGCGGUUUCUUAAGUCUGAUGUGAAAGCCCCCGGCUCAACCGGGGAGGGUCAUUGGAAACUGGGAAACUUGAGUGCAGAAGAGGAGAGUGGAAUUCCACGUGUAGCGGUGAAAUGCGUAGAGAUGUGGAGUAACACCAGUGGCGAAGGCGACUCUCUGGUCUGUAACUGACGCUGAGGAGCGAAAGCGUGGGGAGCGAACAGGAUUAGAUACCCCUGUAGUCCCUGUCUCUUAUAC